UAAGGAGCACCAUCCGGCGAAAGCUGGUAUGGAGCCCGCGAUCUGCGAAUGUCAGGUCGGGGUGCUCAAUGGCGGAGACACUGGUGAGUUUUUCCCUGGCAACGGCCAUACGGGUUUCUAGUACAGCCAUCUUCGGGUGGUGGGAACGGGACUGGUGGUGCGGCUGGGGAAGGGCGGAGAGCACCCUGUUGGGUCCUGAAGGAACAACCCGUUGUGGUGGUUGUCUUUCAGUGCUGAUCCUUUGAGGUUUUGCCUCGGGGUUGGUUGCCAGGUGCGGCCUGGUCUCGCAUACCGCCGGCGUUGUCGGGUUUGGUGUGGGGCUGUGGGUUGUGGGUUGGUUGUUUGUUGAGAAUUGCACAGUGGACGCGAGCAUCUUUGUGGUCAA
rnacentral:misc_RNA from 1 species